rnacentral:rRNA from 1 species
AUGCACGCUGGCGGCGUGCCUAAUCCCUGCCAGUCGAGCGAACGGACGAGAAGCUUGCUUUUCUGAUGUUAGCGGCGGACGGGUGAGUAACACGUGGAUAACCUACCUAUAAGACUGGGAUAACUUCGGGAAACCGGAGCUAAUACCGGAUAAUAUUUUGAACCGCGUGGUUCAAAAGUGAAAGACGGUCUUGCUGUCACUUAUAGAUGGAUCCGCGCUGCAUUAGCUAGUUGGUAAGGUAACGGCUUACCAAGGCAACGAUGCAUAGCCGACCUGAGAGGGUGAUCGGCCACACUGGAACUGAGACACGGUCCAGACUCCUACGGGAGGCAGCAGUAGGGAAUCUUCCGCAAUGGGCGAAAGCCUGACGGAGCAACGCCGCGUGAGUGAUGAAGGUCUUCGGAUCGUAAAACUCUGUUAUUAGGGAAGAACAUAUGUGUAAGUAACUGUGCACAUCUUGACGGUACCUAAUCAGAAAGCCACGGCUAACUACGUG